rnacentral:lncRNA from 1 species
ACGGGGCUUGGGUGCAGUAGGAUAAACACAGAAAUGGAUAACAAAUGGUUUUGAACCCGACAUUCAUGUUGUUUGAUUUUCUCUUUUUCUUUUCGUGCUUAACUCAUAGCUCUGGGGGUUUAUUCACUUUUGACUCUUUUUACUCAAUUCUCUGUGAGCAUUUUACAGGUGUUAGAGUCUUCAGUCUUGGCCAGUGCAUUUUUCUCUUUUUUUUCUUUUUCUUUUUGGACACACACAUGUCUCUUC